UACAGGGGGGGGCAAGCGUUGUUCGGAAUUACUGGGCGUAAAGGGCUCGUAGGCGGCCUCUUAAGUCGAACGUGAAAUCCCCGGGCUCAACCCGGGAACUGCGUCCGAUACUGGGGGGCUUGAAUCCGGGAGAGGGAUGUGGAAUUCCAGGUGUAGCGGUGAAAUGCGUAGAUAUCAGGAGGAACACCGAUGGCGAAGGCAGAUCUCUGGGCCGUGAACUGACGCUGAGGAGCGAAAGCGUGGGGAGCGAACAGG
rnacentral:rRNA from 1 species